rnacentral:rRNA from 1 species
AUUAAGCCAUGCAUGUCUAAGUAUAGUUACUAUACAGCGAAACUGCGAAUGGCUCAUUAAACCAGUUAUAAUCUAUUUGGUGCUUUUUUUACAUGGAUAACCGUGGGAAACUAGGGCUAAUACAUGCACAACCUUUGGUGUAUUUAUUAGUUUCAAAUCAAUAUCAUUUUGAGGAAUCAUAAUAACUGAUCGAAGCGAAUUUUCGCUAAAUCAUUCGAGUUUCUGCCCUAUCAGCUCUGGUUGGUAGUGUAUUGGACUACCAUGGCAGUAACGGGUAGCGGAGAAUUAGGGUUCGAUUCCGGAGAGGGGGCCUGAGAAAUGGCCACCAUUUCUAUGGAAGGCAGCAGGCGCGUAAAUUACCCAAUCCUGACUCAGGGAGGUAGUUAAUAGAUAUAACAAAUUCGUACCACAUCGGUACUGAAU